UACAGAGGUUGCAAGCGUUGUUCGGAAUUAUUGGGCGUAAAGCGCGUGUAGGCGGCUUUGCAAGUCGGGUGUGAAAGCCCUCAGCUCAACUGAGGAAGUGCGCCCGAAACUGCUUAGCUUGAGUGUCGGAGAGGAUGGCGGAAUUCCCCAAGUAGAGGUGAAAUUCGUAGAUAUGGGGAGGAACACCGGUGGCGAAGGCGGCCAUCUGGACGAUUACUGACGCUGAGACGCGAAAGCGUGGGGAGCAAACAGG
rnacentral:rRNA from 1 species